CAUGGAGGGGAACAGAUUUGCGUCUAGUACUUGGAUCGGAAAGAAGUGAGGGGAAAAGACCAACCUCGCCUUUUAACCUCUCGGAAGCAGAGACCAGUUUACCACGCCCGCUAAAACGACCACUCGCCGAGAGCAGAGGAAGAAUAAUUGCAUUUAUCACAAUUCUUCACUUUUUCUCAGGACAUGGAAGUUGUUUUGGAAUGCUUAAAUGACGUCUCAUUGAUUCUUUUACCAGACAGCGGACUUCAAUAAGUAGACUAGCGUAGCUUUCUGCGUUACUACUAGCUACCCAGCUGGUUUGCCGACCAGCAGAGAGUCUAGCUAUCUAGCUAGCUCUUUGCCUACUUCUGUUGUCACCAGCGAUUUCUGAAGAUGCUAACUAGGUAGUUAGAUAAGUAAUUGCAGGAAGUUCUGUCUUUUAUCAUUGAAAACAGUCUUUUGGACAUUUACUUUACUAUUAAGAUUAAGCACGCCAACAUUUGCUAGCUUGCUAGCGGCAGUUCUAUAUUUUAAACGUGUGCAACUUGUGAUUUUUGUCCAUGACUCUAGACAGCCUUAAACACUCAGCGAUCCUUUCCACUUUGUUUAAAAUGGCAGACGACAAUGAACUAAUAGGAGCCUCCGAGUUUAUCAAAGAUCGAUUGUAUUUUGCAACCUUAAGGAGCAAGCCAAAAAGCACUGCGAACACGCACUACUUCUGCACGGAUGACGAAUUUGUGUAUGAAAAUUUUUAUGCAGAUUUUGGUCCUCUAAAUUUGGCAAUGCUGUACAGAUACUGCUGCAAGCUCAACAAAAAGCUGAAGCGGACAAGCUGUAGGUCUGUGAUGUGUACAUGUUUGCGAAUGUUGAAGUCUUUCACACUGACCAGAAAGAGGAUCGUUCACUACACAAGCUUUGAUCAGCGAAAGAGGACCAACGCUGCUGUCUUAAUUGGUGCCUAUGCUGUAAUCUACUUAAAGAAGAGCCCAGAGGAGGCCUACAGAGCGCUGAUCUCCGGGUCCAACGCGUCAUAUCUACCAUUCCGGGAUGCCUCUUUCGGAAACUGCACGUACAACCUGACAAUUCUCGACUGUUUACAAGGCAUCCGGAAGGCCCUGCAGCACGGUUUCUUUGACUUUGAGACCUUCGAUGUGGACGAGUAUGAGCAUUACGAGCGUGUGGAAAACGGCGACUUCAACUGGAUUGUUCCAGGGAAGUUCCUGGCUUUCAGUGGACCACACCCAAAAAGUAAAAUUGAAAAUGGGUACCCCCUGCACGCCCCGGAGGCCUACUUCCCUUACUUCCGCAAACACAACGUGACGACGGUGGUGCGCCUCAACAAGAAGAUCUACGACGCCAAGCGCUUCACGGACGCGGGCUUCGAGCACUACGACCUGUUCUUCGUGGACGGCAGCACGCCGAGCGACGCCAUCACCCGCCGCUUCCUGCACAUCUGCGAGAGCACCGAGGGUGCCGUGGCGGUCCACUGCAAGGCGGGCCUGGGCCGCACGGGGACCCUGAUUGGCUGCUACCUGAUGAAGCACUACCGCUUCACCGCCGCUGAGGCCAUCGCCUGGAUCCGCAUCUGCAGGCCCGGCUCCAUCAUCGGGCCACAGCAGCACUUCCUGGAAGAGAAGCAAGCGAGCCUCUGGAUGCAGGGAGACAUGCACCGCUCCAAGCAGAAGCAGAGGCAGCUGGACGACUGGGGUGUGGCGCACGUCAUCUCCGGCAUGGACGACCUGACCAUCAGCAGCAGCGCCGCCUACAAGGCCCACGCCAUGGAUCACGCGGAGGAGAGUGACUACGGGGAGAACGGCAUGUGCAUGACUCAGGGAGACAAACUGCGUGCCUUAAAGGGCAGGAGACAGCCCAGGUCUGCCACCACCGGAGCCCUCAGGCUAGAAGACAUGAAAAUGCACACCAGGUCUCCCUCCCAGCCCUUCAGCAGGAUGAACCCCGCGGUGAGUGGCCCGGGCUCCAUCUCCCCCCUCAAGUCUUCCAAAGUCCCCCCCUCCGCUUCCGCUACCGCCAAGAGGAUCAGCAGAAGCUCCUCCUCCUCCGCCUCCAACCUCAAGAGUCCUCUGGUGGUAUUUCUGUGUGACUACCCCCUGCUCUGAGACUGAACAGCUUCUCCAUAAACACCAGGUUAGCCAGCUCUUUAGGCAACCUGUACGCAGUGGACGAUGACUCGAAGGGGAAAGGCAAGCUGGCCACCCCCUCCUUCCCGUCCUCUUCCUCCUCCUCCUCCUCUCCCCCGGUGCGGACGGGCUUUGGCCACGGCUACGCCAAUGGCGGCUCGCUCAUGGCGCCCGCCCGAAAUUUCCACUUUGAGGUCAACAACAACAAUCAGUAUAACUCUUCCGCCGCCGUCGGCGCCGGCACCGCCGUCCCCGCCGUCCCCGCCAACUCCAGCGGCCCCGGCAAAGGCCCCGCCUUCGGCCCCGCGGGACGGCUGGGGCCGGACGAGUUCGGCCUCUACAGAUCCCCGCUGUACUCCGGGCUGACCGCCCCCUCCACACGCUACCUCAGCCGCUCCAUUCCCUCCCUUCAGUCUGAAUAUGUUCAAUACUAAAGGGACAGUGCUGCGGUGACACUGCAGACGAAACCCGCCGUGACCCGCCUCUCAACCCCCGUCCUGGGUGUGGCCGUCGAGACCCCCUGACCCCCACGCCUACACCCGCCCUUUGGACUCCUGGCACCCAGCGCUUCUAACCGUCUACAAAAAGGGAAACGAAAAAACCAGGAGGUGCCGGGCCCCACACACCCUCUCUUUGCAGCUGGACGGGUCACCGCUGGCAACCCCUCAUCCACAAGCUGGUGUCUUUUUCGCUCCAGACCCUGUUCGGAUGGGGGGGCACUGGCAGCUCCAGCCCCUCCGAGGGCUUCCAGAAGGGUUGUGCUUUUUCUUUCGGCCUCAGGUCUUAAUUAAUCGUAACUGAACUCAUUGUUCAGGGUGGAAGUCAAAUGCAUUUUUUUUUUUUCCCGUCUUUUGGAUAGCUGAUAAUUGAAAGGUACCUUUCAAAGCCUGCAGGCACCCUCUGGCGUGCUGUGAAUGAGCAUGCCAUGUGUGCUGUGUCUGUGCGUGCUUCUUCUCCAGGAAGGGUGUUGAGGUGUAACACGCUUCUGUACGCACUCCUCCUGUUACCACAACUCAGCUGUCCUGCUUUGUAAAUUUCUUAUUUUCUAUCUAAUGUAAGCACAUACUUUUAACUGAAAGAAGAGGAUAUUUUUAGAUAUGGAUUUUAUACUAUCUACAUACAUAACAUAUAUUUUAAGCUUGGAUAACAAAUAUAUAUAUAUAUAUAUAUAUGUGUUUAUAUAUGAAUUGCAUUUUUGGGUUUCAAGAACCGUCUUGGUUUUUUUUUUUUUAAAUUCUCUGUUUCUUGAGUGUACUUUGGACAUAUCUUGCUUGGUGCAUGAAGGUGUUAAGACUGCAAGGGGUGGGACAUGUAUUAACGAAGCCCUGUUUCUAAUCAGUCGAGUACUAUCAGUGCUCCGGCUUUGAAGGGGAAUGUGAAAAUUGAUUUUUGAGAGUGUGCAGGGUGCGUUCCCUUGUUCUCCUGAAAGGGAUAUGAAAAUGGGUUUUUGGAAAGUGUUGAAGGUGUGUUCUCUUGUUUGCCUGGAGGGAGGGUGGAGAUGGUGGGGGGGAUUGGGUGGACAAGCUUACUUAUUUUUCCUG